CCAUUCUCAGUGAGUGAGUUCUCAUGAGAUUUGAUUGUUUAAAAGUAUAUGGCACCUCACCCUUCUCUCUCUCCCUCCGCUCCUCCUCCAGCCAUGUAAGAUAUGCCUGCUUCCCCUUCGCCUUCUGCCAUGAUUGAAAGCUUCCUGAGGCCUCCCUAGAAGCCAAGCAGAUGCCAACAUCAUGCUUCCUGUACAGCCUGUGGAACUGAAAUUGGGAACCUACCAUGUACUGGAAUAACUGCUGGGAACACGGCGAACUAUGUGGCCACUAUCCCUGGAAAGAAAGAAUUCGGCUUUGGACAAGGAUAAAUGAAGCCAUGAAAGGAGGCUUUUAUUACUAUUAGCAACUACAACAGCCCUG